rnacentral:ncRNA from 2 species
GAGCCCUGCCCUCGUGAUUUGUAAGGCCGGCUUGCGGCGAGGUAAAAGAAACGCGCUAAAGAGGCUCUGACACGGCAUUU